GCUGCAAUGGCCGAGUGGUUAAGGGGUUGGACUUGAAAUCUAAUGGGGUCUUCCUGGACAGGUUCGAAUCCUGCUUGUAGCG